rnacentral:rRNA from 1 species
AGUGAACGCUGGCGGUAGGCCUAACACAUGCAAGUCGAACGGCAGCACAGUAAGAGCUUGCUCUUACGGGUGGCGAGUGGCGGACGGGUGAGGAAUACAUCGGAAUCUACUUUUUCGUGGGGGAUAUCGUAGGGCAACUUCCAAUAAUACCGCAUACGACCUACGGGUGAAAGCAGGGGAUCUUCGCACCUUGCGCGAUACAAUGAGACGAUGUCGGAUUAGCUAGUUGGCGGGGUAAAGGCCCACCAAGGCGACGCUCCGUAGCUGGUCUGAGCGGAUGAUCAGCCACACUGGAACUGGGACACGGGCCAGACUCCUACGGGAGGCAGCAGGGGGGAAUAUUGGACAAUGGGCGCAAGCCUGAACCAGCCAUACCGCGUGGGUUAAGAAGGCCUUCGGGUUGUAAAGCCCUUUUGUUGGGAAAGAAAAGCAGCAGGUUAAUACCCUGCUGUUCUGACGGUACCCUAAGAAUAAGCACCGGCUAACUUCGUG